GGUAAUAGUCCUCCCCCCCUGAACACCUGAACACGCCCGAUCUUGUCUGAUCUCAGAAGCUAAGCAGAGUUGGCCUGGUUAGUACUUGGAUGGGAGAGGAAGAGAGACAAGACACCU
rnacentral:rRNA from 1 species